UACGAAGGGGGCUAGCGUUGUUCGGAAUUACUGGGCGUAAAGCGCGCGCAGGCGGCCUUCCAAGUCAGUGGUGAAAGCCCGGAGCUCAACUCCGGAACUGCCAUUGAAACUGUUAGGCUUGAGGAUGAGAGAGGUGAGUGGAAUUCCCAGUGUAGAGGUGAAAUUCGUAGAUAUUGGGAAGAACACCGGUGGCGAAGGCGGCUCACUGGCUCAUUUCUGACGCUCAGGCGCGACAGCGUGGGGAUCAAACAGG
rnacentral:rRNA from 1 species